AGCUCCAAUAGCGUAUAUUAAAGUUGUUGCAGUUAAAAAGCUCGUAGUUGGAUUUCUGGCAGGAGCGGCCGGCCACGCGCUCUGCGCGUGAGUUUGUGCUGUCUCUAGCCAUCCUCGGGGAGAUCGCGUUUGGCAUUAAGUUGUCGGGCGUGGGAUACCCGUCGUUUACUGUGAAAAAAUUAGAGUGUUUAAAGCAGACUUAUGCCGUUGAAUAUAUUAGCAUGGAAUAAUAAGAUAGGACUUCGGAACUAUUUUGUUGGUUUGCGUUACAAAGUAAUGAUUAAUAGGGACAGUUGGGGGUAUUCGUAUUUCGUUGUCAGAGGUGAAAUUCUUGGAUUUCCGAAAGACGAACUACUGCGAAAGCAUUUACCAAGGAUGUUUUCAUUAAUCAAGAACGAAA
rnacentral:rRNA from 1 species